UACGUAGGGUGCAAGCGUUGUCCGGAAUUAUUGGGCGUAAAGAGCUUGUAGGCGGUUUGUCGCGUCUGCUGUGAAAUUUCGGGGCUCAACCCCGAACUUGCAGUGGGUACGGGCAGACUAGAGUGUGGUAGGGGAGACUGGAAUUCCUGGUGUAGCGGUGAAAUGCGCAGAUAUCAGGAGGAACACCGAUGGCGAAGUCAGGUCUCUGGGCCGAUACUGACGCUGAGGAGCGAAAGCGUGGGGAGCGAACAGG
rnacentral:rRNA from 1 species